UGGUGGCGAUAGCGAAGAGGUCACACCCGUUCCCAUACCGAACACGGAAGUUAAGCUCUUCAGCGCCGAUGGUAGUCGGGGGUUUCCCCCUGUGAGAGUAGGACGCCGCCAAGC
rnacentral:rRNA from 1 species